rnacentral:rRNA from 1 species
UACGUAGGGUGCGAGCGUUAAUCGGAAUUACUGGGCGUAAAGCGUGCGCAGGCGGUCUCGCAAGUCCGAUGUGAAAUCCCCGGGCUCAACCUGGGAACUGCGUUGGAAACUACGAGGCUGGAGUACGGCAGAGGGGGGUGGAAUUCCACGUGUAGCAGUGAAAUGCGUAGAGAUCGGGAGGAACACCUGUGGCGAAGGCGGCCGACUGGGCCGACCCUGACGCUGAGGCGCGAAGGCGUGGGGAGCGAACGGG